GAUGAAGAACGCAGCGAAAUGCGAUACGUGAUGUGAAUUGCAGAAUUCAGUGAAUCAUCGAAUCUUUGAACGCACAUUGCACUCCUUGGUAUUCCGAGGAGUAUGCCUGUUUCAGUAUCAUGAGCACUCUCACAUCUAACCUUUGGGUUAAAAUGUGGAAUUGGGAUGCGCCGGUUAUUAUAACGGCCCUCCUAAAAUUCAGUUCUUGGCUGCUUCCUACUACAGCAGUUUGGCCUAAUAGUUUUGAGUCUUCGAUUCAAAUCUUUGGCUAACAUUUGCUUCAGGAUGUCAGUCUUGAUAUACAGAAAUCUCAUUCAAACUUUGAUCUGAAAUCAGGUAGGGCUACCCGCUGAACUUAAGCAUAUCAAUAAGCGGAGGA
rnacentral:misc_RNA from 1 species